rnacentral:rRNA from 1 species
CAAUAGCGUAUAUUAAAGUUGUUGCAGUUAAAAAGCUCGUAGUUGGACCUUGGACCCGGACAGGCGGUCCGCCUCACGGCGUGUACUGUCUUGCUGGGUCUUUCCUCUUGGUGAUCUGUUGUUUCGGCAGCAGGGAACCAGGACUUUUACUUUGAAAAAAUUAGAGUGUUCAAAGCAGGCUCGACGCCGGAAUAUAUUAGCAUGGAAUAAUAAAAUAGGACGUGCGGUUCUAUUUUGUUGGUUUUUGGAAUCGCCGUAAUGAUUAAUAGGGACAGUCGGGGGCAUUAGUACUCACAUGCUAGAGGUGAAAUUCUUGGAUUUUGUGAAGACUAACUUCUGCGAAAGCAUUUGCCAAGGAUGUUUUCAUUAA